GGGAGGUAAUAUAUAUAUAAGCAACCUAGCACACACACACACACACACACACAUAUGUAAAGAACAUGCCUGUCAAUGUGGGAGACGUCAGACUAGGACUCGAUCCCUGGGUGGGGAAGAUUCCCUGGAGGAGGGCAUGGCAACCCAGUUCAGUAUUAUUGUCUGGAGAAUCCUCAUGGACAGAGGAGCCUGGCAGGCUACAGUCUGUUGGGUUGCAGAGAGUCAGACAUGACUGAGGUGACUUAGCAUGCAGGCAUGUGCGCACACUCAGACACUCACACACACGCACACACACACACGCAUAUAUGUAUAUAUAAACUGAUUCACACUGGUGUACAGCAGAAACUAUCACAACAAUUAUACUGCAGUUAAGAAAAAAAUAAAGCACCACACCCUUAGGUUGAUCUUUGUUCUGUAUUACUUAGGGUCCUUAUUCCUCAAAAGCCUUCUCCAUCUCUUUAAGAUCCGGCAUCAGGCAAACUGUAGGUCUUCCCAACUUUGUAACACUGCCUGAAUUUCUGGAGUAUCUAUUUGUAAACUAGGCCAUCUCUUUAUUUUUAGUUCCUUGCCAAACAGUUUAUAACAGCCAAUAGGCAUUACUAAGGUUCUGUUUCCCAGCCCUUCCCUUAGAGCUACAAGUUCAUUAGGUACGUGGGGUCUAUGUCCCAGGUCACUGCAAGCAGCAGUUAACCAAAUAUAAUAAGCAUCACCAUCUUUUCAGCCUCUCUUAACAAUCUUCUCAGUGCCUGCUCCCUGACCAUCAGUGUCACAUAUUUGUUUAUUUGUUUUAAGCACCAGUGCCCCAUCUUGUAUCAAUCUACGUGUUUAGUCAGGAGAGACAAAAUCGUGAUUUAUUUACAAACCUCAGUGGCUUAACACGCUGAAUCCUGGCAGGUCGCUCUCCAGAAGAGCUGUUUCCACCGAGGGUUCAUAAAAGGCUGCUUUGUUAGUCCUCAGAUUCUCUGCAGUCUCCUGUUGUGCAGCUUUCAAAUGUUGUCAGUCUAAUGAGCGUGAAGUGAAUGCUCUUGGCUGUUUUAAUUUGCAUCUCCCUAAUGGCUGAGUUUGCACAUGUCUUUAAAAGCCUGUAGUUUGUUGUCUUUCUUCUUAUAGAAAUUAUUUAUUCGUAGCCUUUUCCAUUUUUUCCUAUUUGUGUUCUUCCUUGGUUUGUUACUGUUGGUCUUUAGGGGUUUCCAGUAUAUUCUAGAGGGGCCUGGUGGGCUACAGUUCAUGGGGUUGCAAAGAGUCUGAUAUGACUUAGCAACUAAGCAAUGACAACAGCAACAACAACAACAGUGUAUUCUAUUAGCUCCUAAUUGGUUUUAGACGCACGUUUUCCCUCUAAUUCAUCAUCUGUUAACUUUAUCAAUGGUAUACUUUAAAAUUUUUGAUAUAAGCAGACUGUUAAUAUUACUACUAUUAUUACUGCUUUGGUUUGUGCUUUAGUAUUUUCUUUAAUACUUCUUCCUCACUUUUAGCUUACAAAGAUAUUUUAGUUUUUCUUCUAUCAAGUUUCUGGAACUUUCCUUUAGGUCUUUGUCCAUCUUGAGGAUAUCUUUGUUGUAAUAUUGAUAGGAAUUUAAUUUUAUUUUAAUCUACAAGGUGAGCCAGUUUUGUCAAAAGCAAGGUCUUAUCUUACACAUGUUUAUGUAUAUACUUUCCAUGAUUAUGAAAAGGAUAAUCAUGGAUCAUUGAAUUAAAAAAUAUUAUUCUCACAAUUUGCUGUCUCAGUUGACAUUUUAUGGGCAUUAUUUACCUAAAAUUGCCCACUCUAAGGCAGGUUGACCCCAAGAAAGUAGUUCAGUUCAGUUCAGUCAGUCGCUCAGUCGUGUCCGACUCUUUGCGACCCCAUGAAUCGCAGCACACCAGGCCUCCCUGUCCAUUACCAUAUCCCGGAGUUCACUCAGACUCACGUCCAUCGAGUCAGUGAUGCCAUCCAGCCAUCUCAUCCUCGGUCGUCCCCUUCUCCUCCUGCCCCCAAUCCCUCCCAGCAUCAGAGUCUUUUCCAGUGAGUCAACUCUUCGCAUGAGGUGGCCAAAGGACUGGAGUUUCAGCUUUGCACCACUGCAAUUUCUUGACUGAAGAAAUUCUCUCUUAUUUGUAUGUGAUGAUGAUUUGUAUGUGAUACCAUGAAACUGAGUUUUCAGGUUUCCAGGGCUUUCUUUUUUUCUGGGCAGGAGUUUCCUUAGACUUUGCAUCUAGGAUUUUCUUCAGUGAGAAAGUGGUAGAAGAGCCUGUCAUGGGGGUGCGGUUUCUGGUACUCUACCAUUAAAAUCUUUCCCAGAGAGAGAAAAGUAACAAGCCCAAAUUAGAGAAUAUGGUGCGGUGUUUUUAAAGCUGGGAAAGUCUAGAGGCAUGUGAUUAGAAAAAAC
ensembl:lncRNA